UAGCGAAGGGGGCUAGCGUUGCUCGGAAUGACUGGGGCGUAAAGGGCGCGUAGGCGGUUCGUACAGUCAGACGUGAAAUUCCCCGGGCUCAACCUGGGGGCUGCGUUUGAGACGUACGGGCUUGAGUCCGGAAGAGGGUGGUGGAAUUCCCAGUGUAGAGGUGAAAUUCGUAGAUAUUGGGAAGAACACCGGUGGCGAAGGCGGCCACC
rnacentral:rRNA from 1 species